rnacentral:rRNA from 1 species
GAGUAUGGAGAGCAGUGAUUCUCGGUGUAGCAGGAAAUGCGGUGAUUUCGAGAGAGACAUGCGAAGGCAGCCUGCUGACAUUUACUGACGCUGAGGUACGAAGGCCAGGGUAGCGAAAGGGAUUAGAUACCCCUGUAGUCCUGGCAGUAAACGGUGCGCGCUUGGUGUAGGAGGACUCGACCCCUUCUGUGCCGGAGUUAACGCGUUAAGCGCGCCGCCUGGGGAGUACGGUCGCAAGACUAAAACUCAAAGAAAUUGACGGGGACCCGCACAAGCGGUGGAGUAUGUGGCUUAAUUCGAUGCAACGCGAAGAACCUUACCCAGACUUGACAUGUAUUGCUAAAGCGGUGAAAGCCGUGGACCCUUCGGGGACCUUACACAGGUGCUGCAUGGCCGUCGUCAGCUCGUGUCGUGAGAUGUUUGGUUAAGUCCAGCAACGAGCGCAACCCCUGUGAAUAGUUGCCAGCACGUAAUGGUGGGGACUCUAUUCAGACCGCCCGGGUCAACCGGGAGGAAGGUGGGGAUGACGUCAGGUCAGUAUGGCCCUUACGUCUGGGGCUGCACACGUACUACAAUGCCCAGUACAAUGAGAACCGAGACCGCGAGGUGGAGGAAAUCUGCAAAACUGGGCCCAGUUCGGAUUGGAGGCUGCAACUCGCCUCCAUGAAGUCGGAAUCGCUAGUAAUGGCACAUCAGCUACGGUGCCGUGAAUACGUUCCCGGGUCUUGUACACACCGCCCGUCACAUCAUGGAAGCCGGUCGCACCCGAAGUGUCUGCGUCAACAAUGGCAUGGGCCCUAAUGGNGAGC